GUGCCACUGCUCCGCGGGACCCGCUAUGUCAGCUUCCCCUCAACCGAUCUGGCCGCGUCCACCGGAGUGCCGAUCGUGCCGCAACUCCACGCGAUUUUUGCUCCAGGCCUCAACAGACCGCGUGGGUAGAUAAGUGCCUUGCUGCCGCCUUCCCUUGCUUCCCCCCGUUCGCCGCCCGAGAAGAAAAUAGUAGCCGCAGCUGGUGAAAUCUGACUCACCGUCGACCUCGCCAUUGGUGGUGUGCCAAGGAGUUCUCUGGACAGGGUGUGGGCGGGCGCAUCCGAUUAGCGCUAGAGUUAGCCGCUAGGACACCCUGAAUUCUUCGCCGGACAAAGGUCUCCGCCGUGCUCGGUAGAUUGUGGGCAAUACAACGUUAAUCUGGAGGAGCCAAUGGCUGAGGAUCCUGGUGCCCAGCAGAUAGAAGUUGCUGAGCAGGAGCUCGUUGAAGGCAAGUUGUGCCCUUGACCACUUUUAUACCCAAUAAUGUUCUUUAAUGUCAUUAUUCAUGCAUAGGUUUAAUUUUGACGGGACCCAAUAGGUCACCCUAGUCUGUUUAUCCUUUUUACCUUGUUUACCCCUGAAUCAUUUGGGUAGUUAUGCUAUUGCUUUACAUGGUUUUGGCUUAAUAUUUCAUUAUAUUCAUGUUCCAAUUAUUUUGUUAUUUUAUUUAUGUUCGUGUCAAAAUCAUUAUUUUUAAUUGGAACAUGGAGCUUAACUUGAGAAACAAGUGCCACCACAAGGGAGGAAUGGGACCCCUUGGCUAACUAAUUAGGAAAGCUAGUGGAAGACUAUCUUACCUGAAAGGGGCAAAGGCAGUAGGGGAGUUGCAUGCAGGGAGGUUCUCGGGUUGAUUUUGCUGCGAUGGCAGACAGACGGGGGAUUCUUGCAAGUGCUCUUCCCAUAAACUGUAGCGGGUUUUCGGAAGCUAGUGGAACUUUGUAAAGGCCUCGUAGUGUUGCCCUACCUCGCUUCCUUGGUAGAGGUGUAUGAGAGUCACGAUCCCUUGGUAGAUGGGUAACAUGACUUAUGGGUAUAGUGUACAACCUCUGUGUAAAACUGGUAUACUAGCCGAGCUCACGGUCAUGAGCAGCUCAGGACUCUCACAAGAUUAAUUUAUGGAACUUAAAUUCAAUUUGUCAUUUUCAUUGCAUGGGAUUAUUAUUAAUUUUGUUUUAUUAUUUUAUUAUGGUUUGGUAUUCACUUACAUUUAGUAACUGCUAAUAAAAGUUGACCAACUUAUUAAAAGCAAUGCUCAGCUUUAACCCCUAUUGUUGAUCAGCUUUACACAGCACAUGAACUUCCACCUUUGGUGAGUUCAUGCCACAUUAUUCACCAUAACUUGUUGAACGAUGAACAUGUGUGAGCUCACCCUUGCUGCCUCACACCCCCAUAGGAGAAGAACAUGUGGUUCAGGAGGAGCCACACAACAAGAAGUUUGAUCUCAUCUAGGUGGCGUCACCUAGUUGACUUAUUGGCACCAAAGAUGGAUCUUAGUUCGUUUUAUAUUUAUAUUUUAUUUUGUAAGACUUUCGCAAUGUAAUAACUACUCUGAUGUUAAUGUGACAUUUAUCUCUA